GUCUCCGUAGCUCAAUUAGAAGAGCGCUCCCCCGUGAAGGGAGUGGUUGCGGGUGCAAGCCCCGUCGGAGACCCCA
rnacentral:tRNA from 1 species